UCGAACGGUGAAAGCGGAGCUUGCUCUGCUGGAUCAGUGGCGAACGGGUGAGUAACACGUGAGCAAUCUGCCCCUGACUCUGGGAUAAGCGCUGGAAACGGCGUCUAAUACCGGAUACGAGCUGCGAAGGCAUCUUCAGCAGCUGGAAAGAACUUCGGUCAGGGAUGAGCUCGCGGCCUAUCAGCUUGUUGGUGAGGUAACGGCUCACCAAGGCGUCGACGGGUAGCCGGCCUGAGAGGGUGACCGGCCACACUGGGACUGAGACACGGCCCAGACUCCUACGGGAGGCAGCAGUGGGGAAUAUUGCACAAUGGGCGCAAGCCUGAUGCAGCAACGCCGCGUGAGGGACGACGGCCUUCGGGUUGUAAACCUCUUUUAGCAGGGAAGAAGCGAAAGUGACGGUACCUGCAGAAAAAGCACCGGCUAACUACGUGCCAGCAGCCGCGGUAAUACGUAGGGUGCAAGCGUUAUCCGGAAUUAUUGGGCGUAAAGAGCUCGUAGGCGGUUUGUCACGUCUGCUGUGAAAACGCGAGGCUCAACCUCGCGCCUGCAGUGGGUACGGGCAGACUAGAGUGCGGUAGGGGAGAUUGGAAUUCCUGGUGUAGCGGUGGAAUGCGCAGAUAUCAGGAGGAACACCGAUGGCGAAGGCAGAUCUCUGGGCCGUAACUGACGCUGAGGAGCGAAAGGGUGGGGAGCAAACAGGCUUAGAUACCCUGGUAGUCCACCCCGUAAACGUUGGGAACUAGUUGUGGGGUCCAUUCCACGGAUUCCGUGACGCAGCUAACGCAUUAAGUUCCCCGCCUGGGGAGUACGGCCGCAAGGCUAAAACUCAAAGGAAUUGACGGGGACCCGCACAAGCGGCGGAGCAUGCGGAUUAAUUCGAUGCAACGCGAAGAACCUUACCAAGGCUUGACAUAUACGAGAACGGGCCAGAAAUGGUCAACUCUUUGGACACUCGUAAACAGGUGGUGCAUGGUUGUCGUCAGCUCGUGUCGUGAGAUGUUGGGUUAAGUCCCGCAACGAGCGCAACCCUCGUUCUAUGUUGCCAGCACGUAAUGGUGGGAACUCAUGGGAUACUGCCGGGGUCAACUCGGAGGAAGGUGGGGAUGACGUCAAAUCAUCAUGCCCCUUAUGUCUUGGGCUUCCCGCAUGCUACAAUGGCCGGUACAAAGGGCUGCA
rnacentral:rRNA from 1 species